UUCCGUUGCCUGCCUGCUUCAAACAGUUCCAUUCCUGCCUGCUUGUAAAGGCUCUCCCUCCCCCUCAGACACAGACACUGGAGCUGAGAGCAGGGGCGUGACAAGGAACUAGGAAGCAGCGGAGCACAGAAGAGCACACAGGGAAUCAGGGGAUCAAAGGACUCUGUCCCAUUUUUCUGUCUGUGCCAUCAUACAGAGUGGAGAAAAAUCCGAUUGGCUGGGAGCCCCAGUGCACUUCUAGGAGAAAAGAAGGAUCCAGGCAGUGUCCAGCUUUGGAGCCAGAGAGAGUAAAAGAACUGCCAGUAACCAGAGAGUGCUCUGGGGCUCCCUAGUGCUCAGCUAGAGACAGUCUUCGAGCUCCAUCCUAAAGGAAGAGAGCGUUCUGCAUCUUGUUCAACUGCCUGUGGGUGCCUGUUGCCAUCCUUGUUUGUCCCCUGUGUAAGGACAGGUGUUUCUUGUGAGUCUGCUACGUGUGAGCAACUGCCUAUCCUGGGGGAACUAAAGGGUUCUUGGGAAAGGGAAUGAACUGAGCAAGUCUGCAUUUGUCCAUCUGCAGUGGCGUAUGUGACGGUAGCACUGUGAGAGACUGUGUCAGGGGUUGAUAUACCACACGGGUUCCUGAGUGCUGGGUUUAUACUGUGUUGCAUUUAACAGUUAUUACUUAUUUCAUCUUUUAUAUAAAGUUUAUCUUUGCUGCAAAA